GAUGAAGAACGUAGCGAAAUGCGAUAAGUAAUGUGAAUUACAGAAUUCAGUGAAUCAUCGAAUCUUUGAACGCACAUUGCGCCCAUUAGCAUUCUAGUGGGCAUGCCUGUUCGAGCGUCAUUUCAACCCUUAAGCCCUGUUGCUUAGCGUUGGGAGCCUACAGUACUGUAGCUCCCCAAAGUUAGUGGCGGAGUCGGUUUCACACUCUAGACGUAGUAAAUUUUUCUCGUCUGUAGUUGAGCCGGUCCCCUGCCGUAAAACACCCAAUUUAUCAAGGUUGACCUCGGAUCAGGUAGGAAUACCCGCUGAACUUAAGCAUAUCAAUAAGCGGAGGA
rnacentral:misc_RNA from 1 species